CUGCGCCACGAGUGGCAAUCAUGUUUAUUGGGCCUAAAGCGUUCGUAGCCGGAUCUAUAAGUCUUGGGUGAAAUCGUUGCGCUUAACAAAACGACGUGCUUGAGAUACUGUCGAUCUAGGGACCGGGAGGAGUUAGGGGUAUUCCUGAGGGAGCGGUAAAAUGCUAUAAUCUCAGGAGGACCACCUGUGGCGAAGGCGCCUAACUAGAACGGGUCCGACGGUGAGGAACGAAAGCUAGGGGAGCAAACCGGAUUAGAUACCCGAGUAGUCC
rnacentral:rRNA from 1 species